rnacentral:rRNA from 1 species
UACGUAGGAGGCAAGCGUUGUCCGGAAUUACUGGGUGUAAAGCGCGUGUAGGCGGCAGGCCAAGUCUGUGGUGAAAUCGCUCGGCUCAACUGGGCGGGGUCCAUGGAAACUGGUCAGCUGGAGGACGGUAGAGGUGAGUGGAAUUCCCGGUGUAGUGGUGAAAUGCGUAGAGAUCGGGAAGAACAUCGGUGGCGAAGGCGGUCUGCUGGGCCGUUGCUGACGCUGAGGCGCGACAGCGUGGGGAGCAAACAGG